GACGAACGCUGGCGGCGUGCUUAACACAUGCAAGUCGAACGGAAAGGCCCUGCUUUUGUGGGGUGCUCGAGUGGCGAACGGGUGAGUAACACGUGAGUAACCUGCCCUUGACUUUGGGAUAACUUCAGGAAACUGGGGCUAAUACCGGAUAGGAGCUCCUGCUGCAUGGUGGGGGUUGGAAAGUUUCGGCGGUUGGGGAUGGACUCGCGGCUUAUCAGCUUGUUAGUGGGGUAGUGGCUUACCAAGGCUUUGACGGGUAGCCGGCCUGAGAGGGUGACCGGCCACAUUGGGACUGAGAUACGGCCCAGACUCCUACGGGAGGCAGCAGUGGGGAAUGUUGCACAAUGGGCGGAAGCCUGAUGCAGCAACGCCGCGUGCGGGAUGACGGCCUUCGGGUUGUAAACCGCUUUCGCCUGUGACGAAGCGUGAGUGACGGUAAUGGGUAAAGAAGCACCGGCUAACUACGUG
rnacentral:rRNA from 1 species